AUACGGAGGAUCCGAGCGUUAUCCGGAUUUACUGGGUUUAAAGGGUGCGUAGGCGGGCGCCUAAGUCAGCGGUGAAAUGCAGCGGCUCAACCGUUGAACUGCCGUUGAAACUGGGCGCCUUGGAUGCGGUCGAGGCCGGCGGAAUGCGUGGUGUAGCGGUGAAAUGCUUAGAUAUCACGCAGAACGCCAAUUGCAAAGGCGGCUGCCCGGGCAGCAAGCGACGCUGAGGCACGAAAGCGUGGAGAUCAAACAGGAUUAGAUACCCGGGUAGUCCACGCCGUAAACGAUGAUGGCUAGCUGUUGGCGAUACACAGUCAGCGGCUGAGCGAAAGCGGUAAGCCAUCCACCUGGGGAGUACGGUCGCAAGAUUGAAACUCAAAGGACUUGACGGGG
rnacentral:rRNA from 1 species